rnacentral:snRNA from 1 species
AUACUCACCUGGUGCAGAGGUGACCGUGAUCAUUGAGGCGGUGCCCCCGAGGAGAGGUGCGGGCAUUCCACUGCGCUCGUGUUGACGCCUGCCACUACCCCAAACUGGGGCAGACGGGACAUGCAAUUUUUGGUAGUGAAAGACUGCGUUCGCCGCUAUCCCCCU